rnacentral:rRNA from 1 species
CCUACGGGUGGCAGCAGUGGGGGAUAUUGCACAAUGGGGGAAACCCUGAUGCAGCGACGCCGCGUGAGUGAAGAAGUAUUUCGGUAUGUAAAGCUCUAUCAGCAGGGAAGAAAAUGACAGUACCUGACAAAGAAGCCCCGGCUAAAUACGUGCCAGCAGCCGCGGUAAUACGGAGGGGGCAAGCGUUAUCCGGAUUUACUGGGUGUAAAGGGAGCGUAGACGGGAUAGCAAGUCUGAAGUGAAAGCCCAAGGCUCAACCAUGGGACUGCAUUGGAAACUGGUAAGCUAGAGUGCAGGAGAGGUAAGCGGAAUUCCUAGUGUAGCGGUGAAAUGCGUAGAUAUUAGGAAGAACACCAGUGGCGAAGGCGGCUUACUGGACAGUAACUGACGUUGAGGCUCGAAAGCGUGGGGAGCAAACAGGAUUAGAUACCCCAGUAGUC